rnacentral:rRNA from 1 species
GGGGAGCAAUCCCCAGUCGAGCGGCGAACGGGUGAGUAACGCGUGGAUAACCUGCCUCGAGGUGGGGGAUAACCCGGGGAAACUCGGACUAAUACCGCAUAAUACCUAUGGGUCAAAGGGGGCGCAAGCUCCCGCCAUGAGAGGGGUCCGCGUCCGAUUAGCUAGUUGGUGAGGUAAUGGCUCACCAAGGCUUCGAUCGGUAGCCGGCCUGAGAGGGUGAUUGGCCACACUGGAACUGAGACACGGUCCAGACUCCUACGGGAGGCAGCAGUGGGGAAUUUUGCGCAAUGGGCGAAAGCCUGACGCAGCAACGCCGCGUGGAGGAUGAAGGUUUUCGGAUUGUAAACUCCUGUCAGCAGGGAAGAAGGCUUCCGGCCUAAUACGUCGGGGGAUUGACUGUACCUGCAGAGGAAGCCCCGGCUAACUCUGUGCCAGCAGCCGCGGUAAUACAGAGGGGGCAAGCGUUAUUCGGAAUUAUUGGGCGUAAAGGGCGCGUAGGCGGCUUUGUAAGUGGCGGGUGAAAUCCCUCGGCACAACCGAGGAACUGCCCGCCAAACUACAUGGCUCGAGUCCGGGAGAGGUGAGUGGAAUUCCCAGUGUAGCGGUGAAAUGCGUAGAUAUUGGGAGGAACACCGGUGGCGAAGGCGGCUCACUGGACCGGUACUGACGCUGAGGCGCGAAAGCGUGGGGAGCAAACGGGAUUAGAUACCCCGGUAGUCCACGCUGUAAACGAUGAGUGCUUGGUGUAGCGGG